rnacentral:rRNA from 1 species
AACGAACGCUGGCGGCAUGCCUAACACAUGCAAGUCGAACGAGACCUUCGGGUCUAGUGGCGCACGGGUGCGUAACACGUGGGAAUUUGCCUCGGGGUAUGGAAUAACUCAGGGAAACUUGAGCUAAUACCAUAUAAUGUCUUCGGACCAAAGAUUUAUCGCCCUGAGAUAAGCCCGCGUAGGAUUAGCUAGUUGGUGGGGUAAAGGCUCACCAAGGCGACGAUCCAUAGCUGGUCUGAGAGGAUGAUCAGCCACACUGGGACUGAGACACGGCCCAGACUCCUACGGGAGGCAGCAGUGGGGAAU